GAUGAACGCUGGCGGCGUGCCUAAUACAUGCAAGUCGAGCGAAUGGAUUAAGAGCUUGCUCUUAUGAAGUUAGCGGCGGACGGGUGAGUAACACGUGGGUAACCUGCCCAUAAGACUGGGAUAACUCCGGGAAACCGGGGCUAAUACCGGAUAACAUUUUGAACCGCAUGGUUCGAAAUUGAAAGGCGGCUUCGGCUGUCACUUAUGGAUGGACCCGCGUCGCAUUAGCUAGUUGGUGAGGUAACGGCUCACCAAGGCAACGAUGCGUAGCCGACCUGAGAGGGUGAUCGGCCACACUGGGACUGAAGCACGGCCCAGACUCCUACGGGAGGCAGCAGUAGGGAAUCUUCCGCAAUGGACGAAAGUCUGACGGAGCAACGCCGCGUGAGUGAUGAAGGCUUUCGGGUCGUAAAACUCUGUUGUUAGGGAAGAACAAGUGCUAGUUGAAUAAGCUGGCACCUUGACGGUACCUAACCAGAAAGCCACGGCUAACUACGUGCCAGCAGCCGCCGUAA
rnacentral:rRNA from 1 species